rnacentral:rRNA from 1 species
GGGAGUCAGACUGUACGAGAUAAGUUGGACAGUCAAAAGGGAAAGAGCCCAGACCGCCGGCUAAGGUCCCAAAGUGGGUGUUAAGUGGAAAAGGAUGUGGGAUCUCUAAGACAACCAGGAUGUUGGCUCAGAAGCAGCCAUUCAUUAAAAGAGUGCGUAACAGCUCACUGGUCGAGAGGUCCUGCGCCGAAAAUGUCCGGGGCUGAAACACCACACCGAAGCCGCGGAACCCGUAAGGGUUGGUAGAGGAGCAUUCUUAGGGGAGUGAAGCAUUACCGGAAGGGGAUGUGGACCGCUAAGAAGAGAGAAUGCCGGAAUGAGUAGCGAGAGCAAGGUGAGAAUCCUUGCGGCCGAAUAUCCAAGGUUUCCAGAGUAAAGCUGAUCUGCUCUGGGUAAGUCGGGGCCUAAGGAGAGGCAGAGAUGCGUAUCCGAUGGACAGCAGGUUUAAGAUUCCUGCACCCCUUGUUAUCAGAACUGCGGGGACACGGGAAGGGAAGCAGAGCCGGGAAUGGAAAGCCCGGUGCAAGCGAAGGAGUCGCAGGGUUGGAAAAUCCGCCCUGCAUGAGACGAAGGCGUGAUGCGGAGCGAAAUGAAGUAGUGAAGCUGCGGCCCCUUCCUGUCGAGAAAAGCCGCUAUCGUGUAGCAAGGGCCCGUACCGUAAACCGACACAGGUGGAUGAGGAGAGGAUCCUAAGGCCGGCGGGAGAAGUGUUGUUAAGGAACUCGGCAAAAUGACUCCGUAACUUCGGGAGAAGGAGUGCUGCGCAAGCAGCCGCAGAGAAAUGGCCCAAGCAACUGUUUAGCAAAAACACAGGUCUAUGCGAAACCGAAAGGUGAGGUAUAUGGGCUGACGCCUGCCCGGUGCUGGAAGGUUAAGGGGAGAGCUUAGCGCGAGCGAAGGUUUGAACUUAAGCCCCAGUAAACGGCGGCCGUAACUAUAACGGUCCUAAGGUAGCGAAAUUCCUUGUCGGGUAAGUUCCGACCCGCACGAAAGGCGUAAUGAUUUGGGCACUGUCUCAACAACACACCCGGUGAAAUUGAAAUACCAGUGAAGAUGCUGGUUACCCGCGCCAGGACGGAAAGACCCCAUGGAGCUUUACUCCAGCCUGAUACUGGGAUUCGGUAUUGCAUGUACAGGAUAGGUGGGAGGCUAAGAACUCAUGGCGCCAGCCGUGAGGGAGCCGAUGUUGGGAUACCACCCCUGCAGUACUGGGUUUCUAACCUGCGCCCGUGACCCGGGCGGGGGACAAUGUCAGGCGGGGAGUUUGACUGGGGCGGUCGCCUCCGAAAGGGUAUCGGAGGCGCUCAAAGGUUCCCUCAGAAUGGUUGGAAACCAUUCGAAGAGUGCAAAGGCAGAAGGGAGCUUGACUGCGACACCGACGGGUGGAGCAGGUACGAAAGUAGGACUUAGUGAUCCGGUGGCAUAAAGUGGGAUUGCCAUCGCUCAACGGAUAAAAGCUACCCUGGGGAUAACAGGCUUAUCACUCCCAAGAGUUCACAUCGACGGAGUGGUUUGGCACCUCGAUGUCGGCUCAUCGCAUCCUGGAGCUGGAGCAGGUUCCAAGGGUUGGGCUGUUCGCCCAUUAAAGCGGUACGCGAGCUGGGUUCAGAACGUCGUGAGACAGUUCGGUC